UUAAGCGACUAAGCGUACACGGUGGAUGCCCUGGCAGUCAGAGGCGAUGAAGGACGUGCUAAUCUGCGAUAAGCGUCGGUAAGGUGAUAUGAACCGUUAUAACCGGCGAUUUCCGAAUGGGGAAACCCAGUGUGUUUCGACACACUAUCAUUAACUGAAUCCAUAGGUUAAUGAGGCGAACCGGGGGAACUGAAACAUCUAAGUACCCCGAGGAAAAGAAAUCAACCGAGAUUCCCCCAGUAGCGGCGAGCGAACGGGGAGCAGCCCAGAGCCUGAAUCAGCAUGUGUGUUAGUGGAAGCGUCUGGAAAGGCGCGCGAUACAGGGUGACAGCCCCGUACACAAAAAUGCACAUACUGUGAGCUCGAUGAGUAGGGCGGGACACGUGGUAUCCUGUCUGAAUAUGGGGGGACCAUCCUCCAAGGCUAAAUACUCCUGACUGACCGAUAGUGAACCAGUACCGUGAGGGAAAGGCGAAAAGAACCCCGGCGAGGGGAGUGAAAAGAACCUGAAACCGUGUACGUACAAGCAGUGGGAGCACGCUUAGGCGUGUGACUGCGUACCUUUUGUAUAAUGGGUCAGCGACUUAUAUUCUGUAGCAAGGUUAACCGAAUAGGGGAGCCGAAGGGAAACCGAGUCUUAACUGGGCGUUAAGUUGCAGGGUAUAGACCCGAAACCCGGUGAUCUAGCCAUGGGCAGGUUGAAGGUUGGGUAACACUAACUGGAGGACCGAACCGACUAAUGUUGAAAAAUUAGCGGAUGACUUGUGGCUGGGGGUGAAAGGCCAAUCAAACCGGGAGAUAGCUGGUUCUCCCCGAAAGCUAUUUAGGUAGCGCCUCGUGAACUCAUCUCCGGGGGUAGAGCACUGUUUCGGCAAGGGGGUCAUCCCGACUUACCAACCCGAUGCAAACUGCGAAUACCGGAGAAUGUUAUCACGGGAGACACACGGCGGGUGCUAACGUCCGUCGUGAAGAGGGAAACAACCCAGACCGCCAGCUAAGGUCCCAAAGUCAUGGUUAAGUGGGAAACGAUGUGGGAAGGCCCAGACAGCCAGGAUGUUGGCUUAGAAGCAGCCAUCAUUUAAAGAAAGCGUAAUAGCUCACUGGUCGAGUCGGCCUGCGCGGAAGAUGUAACGGGGCUAAACCAUGCACCGAAGCUGCGGCAGCGACACUAUGUGUUGUUGGGUAGGGGAGCGUUCUGUAAGCCUGCGAAGGUGUGCUGUGAGGCAUGCUGGAGGUAUCAGAAGUGCGAAUGCUGACAUAAGUAACGAUAAAGCGGGUGAAAAGCCCGCUCGCCGGAAGACCAAGGGUUCCUGUCCAACGUUAAUCGGGGCAGGGUGAGUCGACCCCUAAGGCGAGGCCGAAAGGCGUAGUCGAUGGGAAACAGGUUAAUAUUCCUGUACUUGGUGUUACUGCGAAGGGGGGACGGAGAAGGCUAUGUUGGCCGGGCGACGGUUGUCCCGGUUUAAGCGUGUAGGCUGGUUUUCCAGGCAAAUCCGGAAAAUCAAGGCUGAGGCGUGAUGACGAGGCACUACGGUGCUGAAGCAACAAAUGCCCUGCUUCCAGGAAAAGCCUCUAAGCAUCAGGUAACAUCAAAUCGUACCCCAAACCGACACAGGUGGUCAGGUAGAGAAUACCAAGGCGCUUGAGAGAACUCGGGUGAAGGAACUAGGCAAAAUGGUGCCGUAACUUCGGGAGAAGGCACGCUGAUAUGUAGGUGAAGUCCCUCGCGGAUGGAGCUGAAAUCAGUCGAAGAUACCAGCUGGCUGCAACUGUUUAUUAAAAACACAGCACUGUGCAAACACGAAAGUGGACGUAUACGGUGUGACGCCUGCCCGGUGCCGGAAGGUUAAUUGAUGGGGUCAGCGCAAGCGAAGCUCUUGAUCGAAGCCCCGGUAAACGGCGGCCGUAACUAUAACGGUCCUAAGGUAGCGAAAUUCCUUGUCGGGUAAGUUCCGACCUGCACGAAUGGCGUAAUGAUGGCCAGGCUGUCUCCACCCGAGACUCAGUGAAAUUGAACUCGCUGUGAAGAUGCAGUGUACCCGCGGCAAGACGGAAAGACCCCGUGAACCUUUACUAUAGCUUGACACUGAACAUUGAGCCUUGAUGUGUAGGAUAGGUGGGAGGCUUUGAAGUGUGGACGCCAGUCUGCAUGGAGCCGACCUUGAAAUACCACCCUUUAAUGUUUGAUGUUCUAACGUGGACCCGUGAUCCGGGUUGCGGACAGUGUCUGGUGGGUAGUUUGACUGGGGCGGUCUCCUCCUAAAGAGUAACGGAGGAGCACGAAGGUUGGCUAAUCCUGGUCGGACAUCAGGAGGUUAGUGCAAUGGCAUAAGCCAGCUUGACUGCGAGCGUGACGGCGCGAGCAGGUGCGAAAGCAGGUCAUAGUGAUCCGGUGGUUCUGAAUGGAAGGGCCAUCGCUCAACGGAUAAAAGGUACUCCGGGGAUAACAGGCUGAUACCGCCCAAGAGUUCAUAUCGACGGCGGUGUUUGGCACCUCGAUGUCGGCUCAUCACAUCCUGGGGCUGAAGUAGGUCCCAAGGGUAUGGCUGUUCGCCAUUUAAAGUGGUACGCGAGCUGGGUUUAGAACGUCGUGAGACAGUUCGGUCCCUAUCUGCCGUGGGCGCUGGAGAACUGAGGGGGGCUGCUCCUAGUACGAGAGGACCGGAGUGGACGCAUCACUGGUGUUCGGGUUGUCAUGCCAAUGGCACUGCCCGGUAGCUAAAUGCGGAAGAGAUAAGUGCUGAAAGCAUCUAAGCACGAAACUUGCCCCGAGAUGAGUUCUCCCUGACUCCUUGAGAGUCCUGAAGGAACGUUGAAGACGACGACGUUGAUAGGCCGGGUGUGUAAGCGCAGCGAUGCGUUGAGCUAACCGGUACUAAUGAACCGUGAGGCUUAACCUU
rnacentral:rRNA from 1 species